rnacentral:rRNA from 1 species
AACGAACGCUGGCGGCAUGCCUAACACAUGCAAGUCGAACGAGACCUUCGGGUCUAGUGGCGCACGGGUGCGUAACGCGUGGGAACCUGCCCUUAGGUUCGGAAUAACUCCCCGAAAGGGGUGCUAAUACCGGAUAAUGUCUUCGGACCAAAGAUUUAUCGCCUUUGGAUGGGCCCGCGUUGGAUUAGCCAGUUGGUAGGGUAAAAGCCUACCAAGGCGACGAUCCAUAGCUGGUCUGAGAGGAUGGUCAGCCACACUGGGACUGAGACACGGCCCAGACUCCUACGGGAGGCAGCAGUGGGGAAUAUUGGACAAUGGGCGAAAGCCUGAUCCAGCAAUGCCGCGUGAGUGAUGAAGGCCUUAGGGUUGUAAAGCUCUUUUACCCGGGAUGAUAAUGACAGUACCGGGAGAAUAAGCUCCGGCUAACUCCGUG